rnacentral:rRNA from 1 species
GACGAACGCUGGCGGCGUGCUUAACACAUGCAAGUCGAACGGAAAGGCCUGGUUUUUGUUGUGGAUUCCGGGUACGCGAGUGGCGAACGGGCGAGUGACACGUGAGUGUUCUGCCCCGAACUUGGGUAUAAGCCCGGGAAACUAGGUCUAAUUCCCUAUAGGACUGCAGGGUGGUGUCUGUGGUGGCGAACGUUUUUCUAGUGGUUGGGGAUGAGCUGGCGGCGUAUCAGGUUGUUGGUGGGGUAAUGGCCUACAAAGGCGGCGACUGGUAGCCGGCCUGGGAGGGUCGACGGCGAAAUUGGGACUGGGACACGGCGCAGACGCCUACGGGCAGCAGCAGUGGGGAAGAAUGGGCAAUGAGCGGAAGGCUGAUGCGGCGAGGCCGCGUGGGGGAUGACGGGAUCGGGGUUGUAAACUCCUUGCGACCGACAGAAAGCCACCUGGUUGGAAGGGUGGUGACGGUAGUGGUAGAAGAAGCACCGGCUAACUACGUG